AAUGAACGCUGGCGGCAUGCCUUACACAUGCAAGUCGAACGGCAGCAUGACCUAGCUUGCUAGGUUGAUGGCGAGUGGCGAACGGGUGAGUAAUGCAUCGGAACGUGCCUUUUAGUGGGGGAUAACGUAGCGAAAGUUACGCUAAUACCGCAUAUUCUCUGAGGAGGAAAGCAGGGGACCUUCGGGCCUUGCGCUAGAAGAGCGGCCGAUGUCGGAUUAGCUAGUUGGUGAGGUAAAGACUCACCAAGGCAACGAUCCGUAGCGGGUCUGAGAGGAUGAUCCGCCACACUGGGACUGAGACACGGCCCAGACUCCUACGGGAGGCAGCAGUGGGGAAUUUUGGACAAUGGGCGCAAGCCUGAUCCAGCCAUGCCGCGUGAGUGAAGAAGGCCUUCGGGUUGUAAAGCUCUUUCGGCUGGGAAGAAAUCGCACCCUCUAAUACAGGGUGUGGAUGACGGUACCAGCAUAAGAAGCACCGGCUAACUACGUG
rnacentral:rRNA from 1 species